AUACUUACCUGGACGGGGUCAAUGGGUGAUCAUAAAGGUCCAUGGCCUAGGCCUGGGGCUUCCAUUGCACUUUGGAGGAGUCCAUGCUUAAGGUCUACCUAAUUGGUGGAGCCUACGUCAUAAUUUGUGGCAGUGGGGGCCUGCGUUCGCGCGGCCCCUAU